rnacentral:rRNA from 1 species
GUGGGGAAUAUUCCGCAAUGGACGAAAGUCUGACGGAGCAACGCCGCGUGAGUGAUGAAGGUUUUCGGACUGUAAAGCUCUGUUGUUUAGGACGAAAGUGCCUGUUGCAAAUAGUUACAGGUAUUGACGGUACUGAACGAGGAAGCCACGGCUAACUACGUGCCAGCAGCCGCGGUAAUACGUAGGUGGCAAGCGUUGUCCGGAAUUAUUGGGCGUAAAGAGCAUGUAGGCGGGAAUCUAAGUCUGUUGUGAAAAUGCGGGGCUCAACCCCGUAUUGCGAUGGAAACUGGGUUUCUUGAGUGCAGGAGAGGAAAGGGGAAUUCCCAGUGUAGCGGUGAAAUGCGUAGAUAUUGGGAGGAACACCAGUGGCGAAGGCGCCUUUCUGGACUGUGUCUGACGCUGAGAUGCGAAAGCCAGGGUAGCGAACGGGAUUAGAUACCCCGGAGUCC